GGAUCAGUCUAGACCCAAAAAUUAAAAUAUCUAUGUAAUGAAUUAUAUUUAAAAUAUAAUUACUAUAUUGUAACCCAAAAAAUAUUAUUAGAACCGAACCUGAAUAGCGGAUCCGACUUGCUAUGUCUAAGUUUUAGAUUAGUACCGGAACCCGAUCUGGGUCUACCCCUCGGGUCAGGUCCAUUGCCACGUCUCCACCCAAUGGAGAGCGGCACUUCGGUCAUAUAUAUUUUUACCUCCACUUGCUGCUGACUUAAGAGAGAGCUUUGCAUUUGAUUUUCCAGCCGAGAGAGAGAGAACUUACCAGAGAGAGAGCUUUGCAUUUGAUUUUCCAGCCGAGAGAGAGAGAACUUAACAGAGAGAGAGCUUUGCAUUUGAUUUUCCAGCCGAGAGAGAGAGAGAGAGAGAUAGAG
rnacentral:lncRNA from 1 species